AUACGGAGGGGGCUAGCGUUGUUCGGAAUUACUGGGCGUAAAGGGCGUGUAGGCGGGACAUCAAGUUAGGCGUGAAAGCCCCGGGCUCAACCCGGGAACUGCGCUUGAUACUGGUGACCUAGAGUCCGGGAGAGGGUGGUGGAAUUCCCAGUGUAGAGGUGAAAUUCGUAGAUAUUGGGAAGAACACCGGUGGCGAAGGCGGCCACCUGGACCGGUACUGACGCUGAGGCGCGAAAGCGUGGGGAGCAAACAGGAUUAGAUACCCCGGUAGUCC
rnacentral:rRNA from 1 species